UACAAGCACCUUCUCUCUACCCCUUCUUCCAAGGCUUGACUCAAACAUUCAUUCUUGACUCCUGUACCUCCUCCCCCUGAGCGGUGCAGGGGAAUGGGGGCUGUGGUCAGUCCCUGCUGUGGUUUAACCCUGCCGGCAGCUAAACACCACACAGCCAUUCGCUCACCCUCCCCCUUCCCUCUCUGGAAUGGGGGAGAGAAAUGGGAAAGUGAAGCCUGUGAGUUGAGAUAAAGACAGUUUAUUAAGACAGGAUAAUAAUAAUAAUAAUAAUGUGUACAAACAAGUGAUGCACAAUGCAAUUGCUCACCACCCGCUGACCGAUGCCCAGCCUAUCCCCAAGCAGCCAGCCCCCCACUCUGGCUAGCCACCCCUGUAUAUUGUUUAGCAUGACGUCAGAUGGUAUGGAAUACCCCUUUGGCCAGUUUGGGUCAGCUGUCCUGGGUCUGUCCCCUCCCAGCUCCUGCUGCACCCCCAGCCUGCUCGCUGGCAGGACAGAGCGAGAAGCUGAAGAGUCCUUGGCUUGGUGUAAGCACUGCUCUGCAACAAUUAAAACAUCAGCAUGUUAUCAGCGCUCUUCUCAUCCUAAUCCAAAACAUAGCACCCUACCAGCUACUAGGAGGAAAAUUAACUCUGUCCUAACUGGAACCAGGACAGUCCCUAACAAGUCUCUCCCCCCCAAUCCGCUGAGCCUGCGGGGGCUGCCCACAGGCAGCAGCUCUUCAAGAACUGCUCCCACAUGGCUCCGUACCAUGGGGUCCAUCCCCCAGGAGCAAACUGCUCCAGCACGGGUCCCCCACGGGCGGCAGCUCCCCCCAGACCCCCUGCUCCUGCGUGGGCUCCUCUCCACGGGCUGCAGCUCCGGCCCGGGGCCUGCUCCUGCGGGGGCUCUCCAUGGGCCGCAGCCUCCUCCAGGCCACAUCCACCUGCUCCACCGGGGGCUCCUCCACGGGCUGCAGUGUGGAGAUCUGCUCCGUGUGGGACCCAUGGGCUGCAGGGGGACAGCCUGCUCCACCAGGGGCCUCUCCACAGGCCGCAGGGGAACUGCUGCUGCGUGCCUGGAGCACCUCCUGCCCUCCUGCUGCACUGACCUUGGGGUCUGCAGGGCUGGUUCUCUCACAUUUUGUCUUUCCCAUCUCUCACAGCUGCUGUGUAAUGCUUUUUACCCUUUCUCAAAUAUGUUACCCCAGAGGCACCACCAACACCACUGAUGGGCUUGGCAGUGUCCUGUGGUGGAUUCCUUUUGGAGAUGUCUGCAACUGGGUUUGUCCAACACGGG
rnacentral:lncRNA from 1 species